rnacentral:rRNA from 1 species
UGAGUAACCUGCCCUCAGCUUUGGGAUAACCCUCGGAAACGGGGCUAAUACCGGGUAUUCACUUCCUGCGGCAUCGUGGGGUGUGGAAAGUUUUUCGGCUGGGGAUGGGCUCGCGGCCUAUCAGCUUGUUGGUGGGGUAAUGGCCUACCAAGGCGGCGACGGGUAGCCGGCCUGAGAGGGCGACCGGCCACACUGGGACUGAGACACGGCCCAGACUCCUACGGGAGGCA